UCAGGGUGAAGUCACUUGUGACGAAGCACUCGAAUCAAGUAUCUUAAAUUAUUAGUCAUUAUACGUUGAAUUAUAUUACAACGAUCUCUUAUUUUUUUUUAAGAAAAGUCUAAUAAAUUAUCAGAAGUGGAAUAUCACACGGGAGGAUAAACGCGCAUUUGAAAAUGAUACAAAAUUUAUUAAAAUCAUUGUAUUACGUACAGAUUGCAAGAAUAUAGUUAGAACGGUAUAAUUAUUUCUCUGAUACUUAGAAUACCGCAAAGUUAAUUGUAUGAUGUAUGGAUAAUCGAAUAGCCGUGAAAAUCUCAUCGAUAUUUGUAAAGUGCUCGUGGUUAAAUAUUUAUAAAUAAGAGUAGUAAAGAAUCUGGUGAAGGAACUUUUUACCAACGCGAAGAAAGCAAAUAAAAUCUACGAACGAACAACAAACGUCAAUAAUAUUAGAGGACAAAGAUUGUUAAUACGAAAUUUGCGUAUAUGUGAAAACAGCGACAAAGCCAUAUAUAUAACAAAUAACCGAUUCACAGACAAAAGAGUAUGGACAAAAGGAAACAACAAUUCAGAGAAAAAAAGAAAAGUACAGUAAGUACAAGAAACCGUCUAAUCAUUAUUCCGGUAAUUAAAAUACCGCACAAUUUAAUCGUGUGAUCUAAUAAAAAUCUGAUAGUUACAAAAAGCGAUAUUCAAAAUGUUUCGGUUAAGAGAGUAUGAAUAUGUGGGGUAAAGAAAGUGGUGAAAAAACAUUCAAAUAAUAGUCGGACAUAUCAAGGAGAAAAAAGUAAGCAAAUCAAAUCUACAAGGAAAGAUGUCAAUAACAUUAGAGGACAAGGAUACUCAAGACGAUAUAAUGUUGAUUAGAAACGUUCCGACAAAGACACAGAAUUAUGACCGAAACAAUAAUACUGAGAGCAAAAAAAUGUACAUUUUUAUUCGCAGGCAGGAGUAAAUUAUGGAGAGCAAAAGAAAUUAUGGAGACAUAAAUCAAAUAUUAUCUCCAAAAUAUGAUAAGAAAAAUGCGACGGGAAAAGUAAACUCAGAUCCCAUUAUAUUGGGAGACUCUAAUAUGUAGAAAUUUUACAGAAUUUUCUGGAGAACUAGUCUGUAAAAAUUUAUUUAUUCUUAGCAAAUAUGAAGAUGCAAUUGGUAAAUAUAUCUUACAAAUACUUUAUAUCGAUAGAACUGAGAUAAAUAUAUAUUAUUCGUGGAUUCAACAUCCGUACAUUAUCAACAAUAUUGAGUAUUCCAUUACGAAUAGCAACAAUAACAGUCAGGAAAUAAAUAACGAAUAGCAAUUGAUGGAAACCGACAUCAUCGAAGAGGAUGCUUUUCAAUUUUCCAGUUCGGUAAAAUUGAUAAAAAAAAAUUACGAAUGUGCAUGGUCUAUCUUAUAUAUCGGUAAAUUAUAUAUCGAUAAAUGGUAAAAUAGUCAAGCAACAGUAUCCUAUAGCUCAAGUAUAGUAUACUAAUU